ACCAGACUUGCCCUCCAAUCGUACUCGAAGUUCGGUUUGGAAUACCCUCACUACAAUCGCGAUUUAUAGUCACGUUGUUAUAUCUUGUCACUACCUCCCUGAGUCAGGAUUGGGUAAUUUACGCGCCUGCUGCCUUCCUUAGAUGUAGUAGCCGUUUCUCAGGCUCCUUCUCCGGAAUCGAACCCUAAUUCUCCGUUACCCGUGAGAGCCAUGGUAGUCCAAUACACUACCAUCGAAAGCAUGAUAGGGCAGAAACUUGAAUGAUUUAUCGUAAACGAGUCACGAUUCGCUAAGUUAUUAUGAAUCACCAACCAGGAAUAUCUAAUAAAUACAACCUUACGGUUAUGGCAUGUAUUAGCUCUAGUGUUUCUACAGUUAUCCAUUUGUUAUAUCAAAUAAACUAUAACUGUUUUAAUGAGCCAUUCGCAGUUUUACUGUGUAGUUAUUUAUACUUAGACAUGCAUGGCUUAGUCUUUGAGACAAGCAUAUGACUACUGGCAGGAUCAACCAG
rnacentral:rRNA from 1 species